rnacentral:rRNA from 1 species
UACGUAGGGAGCAAGCGUUGUUCGGAUUUACUGGGCGUAAAGGGCGCGUAGGCGGCGCGGUAAGUCACUUGUGAAAUCUCUGAGCUUAACUCAGAACGGCCAAGUGAUACUGCAGUGCUAGAGUGCAGAAGGGGCAAUCGGAAUUCUUGGUGUAGCGGUGAAAUGCGUAGAUAUCAGGAGGAACACCGGUGGCGAAGGUGGGUCUCUGGGCAGUAACUGACGCUGAGGAGCGAAAGCGUGGGGAGCGAACAGG